CCUACGGGAGGCAGCAGUGGGGGAUAUUGGACAAUGGGCGCAAGCCUGACCCAGCAACGCCGCGUGAGGGAAGAAGGCUUUCGGGUUGUAAACUUCUGUUCUGAGGGACGAUAGUGACGGUACCUCAGGAAUAAGCCACGGCUAACUACGUGCCAGCAGCCGCGGUAAUACGUAGGUGGCAAGCGUUAUCCGGAUUUACUGGGUGUAAAGGGCGUGUAGGCGGGAUGGUAAGUCAGAUGUGAAAACUAUGGGCUCAACCCAUAGCCUGCAUUUGAAACUAUCGGUCUGGAGUGUUGGAGAGGCAGGCGGAAUUCCGGGUGUAGCGGUGAAAUGCGUAGAUAUACGGAGGAACACCAGUGGCGAAGGCGGCCUGCUGGACAAUAACUGACGUUGAGGCGCGAAAGCGUGGGGAGCAAACAGGAUUAGAUACCCUUGUAGUC
rnacentral:rRNA from 1 species